rnacentral:tRNA from 1 species
CAAGCUAGAUCCUUAGAGGAUUUGUUAUUUACAUUAACAAUUAAAUUUGUGCGAAUCAAUUUGGCUUGA